AGAUCACAGUGAAAUACUUUUAGGUCAUUCAAAACUUAAAAACAAGUUCUGAAAACUUAGGAUAAAAAUUUGAGAGAUUAAAAAUUAACUUCAUUAGCUCUACUCCUCAAUUCUUUUCGCAAAUGUUCUUAAGAAUCUUAAACUAUACUCUAUACUAUGUACCUUCACUUUGAUCUUCAAUAUAGCUUGGAAGGUAGCUUUAUCUUUCUUGUCUUUGAUUCAUCUUGAGUUG
rnacentral:misc_RNA from 1 species